rnacentral:tRNA from 2 species
GCGGAUAUGGUGGAAUUGGCAGACACGCUACUUUGAGGUGGUAGUGCCGCAAGGCGUGCAGGUUCAAAUCCUGCUAUCCGCACCA